rnacentral:lncRNA from 7 species
UAGAGCUGACUUACUCUCCCUCAGGCUUUGGUCCCUUUUGUCUGGAAGACUGUGGGCUAUGAAGCUUCUGUCUAAGAGAAAGUCUCCGUGGCAGUUGUGUUGGCUGGAACACUAGCACCUGGAAGCCCCUUGCAUAACUGCAAGAGAAGGGGACUGCGAGAAGCCAAGGGCUGCUCAGUGCAUUGCUGCGAACUUCCGUCCCCAUCUGGAGGGCAGACCGCCUGCCUUUGUGCGCAUUCAUCGCCCCGAAAUUAAGGGCUUUUUCCAGCUGCCCUUCCAAACAGAGUAAAGUUCAGUACCGGACUUCCUUUGCAUCUUCUGAUAUUUUUGAUCCCUGGGUUCAAGUUAAGACAGAUAAGGGAGAUCUCUAUAGCUAUCAGCGUAUUGGAGUUGAAUUUGGAAGGAGAAAAAGAAAGAACAGAAUUGCAACUGCUGAGGAAGGGACGGCAAGAUGCCAUGGUAGCCUGGGAAGGAUGAAGUUCCCUCCCUGUCCACUGCAUUUCCUCCACACACAAAGGAGCUCGCUCAGACCCUGCGAUGUUAGAUCCAUUGCUGUGUUUUGUGCAUGUGCCGGGCUGGCUCGCUCUCACUUUUUAGAGCGCCUAUGCCGAUGCGGUGCCUCUAAGCAUUAAUGAAACUAACCGGUAGUAUUAAUCUCACAUAACGCAGGGCAAGUGCGGCAGGGAGUUGGUAGGGAUUUUCUCUCUCCUCUAUUUGAUUCCAUUUACUUUUUUCCGGGUGAGGCGUUCAGCAAUCUCCCAGUUCUUUCUCCCAGCUUCCUUCGCCUCUCCCCC